UUCCAGCAUUCCAGUGAAGAGUCCCUGUUUGUUAAUAACAGAAAUCCAGGGUUGUUUUCUGGUAAGCAUCAUUAUAUUAAAUUAACAUUAGUUUUAAUAUAACAGCUAAUUUAUAAAAUUAUCAGCAAUGAAAUUAACAAGUAUAUAUCAAUGAGACUUAUUUGUUUAACAAUUUACUAUAUAUAUCAUCUAGCAAUAAUUGAUUUUUGAGUAUUGUUUCCGGAAAUUUUUCAUAUUUCCUCCGUAAACGGGUGAAUUGUUUUUCUAUCAAACAUCUUCCUGGUUUUGAAACAAAUAUUGUCACACCGGCCAUGACUUAAAAAAUUAAAAAAACAGAUGUGAUAUAGCAUAUUCACAGUAUAGCAAUGUUAAUUGAAGUUUUAGCAGGAUUACCAGCUUUCAUUAGAAUGCCGUGUUCCUGUAAUCUGAUUGGCUGACCAGACAUUUUAGUUUUACAGUAAUUCUUUUCGAAAUAUGAAUUAAUAAGUGAUGAACUAGAUGCACAGAAGACAUCACACCGACUGCAUAUAACCCUAUGAAGAUCCUGUUAUCACAGUUUAGAAUUUAGGAAUGUUUUACUACACCCGUUAUUGACAGAACACAUCCAGAAUUAACUACUGGAAAUAUCAACACUUACUGGUACCUGAUAAAAUUAUAUAAUCAGCUGAUAUCACACUAUCGGAACUGUUUAUUUCGUAUUAUACCUCGUCUCACUAUUUUUAAUAUGUACAACCUUUGAUGGUGUGUUAAGUAUUAAGUAUGACGAUAAAUUUUCACUUCUGUACUCGUACUCUGAACAACAAAUUUAUUAAUUUGGUUAAAAAUGUUUACUUUGUACUCCUAACAACAAAAUUUUUAUAUUUAAAUUUACCUGUGUACGUUGAUUUAUUUAACGCUAUUUUGUCCCAGUUGAGAGUUGUCUUAUUGACACUCUUUCUACAUCUUUUUUAUUACUACCUGUAACAUCUAUGUUAUAUAGGCACCUACGUUUUAAUAUUGUAUUUAUAUUGUGUUAUAGACCAAACUUAUUCGUUUAGUGUUUUUGUUUAAAUGUCUUUUUGAUCGAGUUAAGCCAUUUCAAUUGAUAUUUGAUAGUGUGUCUUUUUAUGUUGUAAUGUUACACUACUGUCUCAGGUUAGGGUGAAGGUUAGUGUUUCUCGUUUUUCGUUUUUUUAUAGAUUAAACCGUUUGUUCUCCUGUUUAAAUUAUUUUACACUAGUCAUUUUGGGGUCAAUUAUAGCAUGCUGUUAGGUGUGAGCCAAGGAUCCGUGUUGAAGGCCGUAAAGUAAAUAUGUUUUUGUAUAAUUUUGAUUGAUCUUCUAGUGUCUUUACACUUUUUUGUCAUACAUAUAAUAUAACUUUAUAUUUCUAUAACAUUUCAUGAAAUUGUGUUCAUAUUAAAUAAAAAAAACCUGU